ACACAUGCAAGUCGAACGGCAGCACAGAGGAGCUUGCUCCUUGGGUGGCGAGUGGCGGACGGGUGAGGAAUACGUCGGAAUCUGCCUAUUUGUGGGGGAUAACGUAGGGAAACUUACGCUAAUACCGCAUACGACCUACGGGUGAAAGUGGGGGACCUUCGGGCCUCACGCAGAUAGAUGAGCCGACGUCGGAUUAGCUAGUUGGCGGGGUAAAGGCCCACCAAUGCGACGAUCCGUAGCUGGUCUGAGAGGGUGAUCAGCCACACUGGAACCGAGACACGGUCCAGACUCCUACGGGAGGCAGCAGUGGGGAAUAUUGGACAAUGGGCGCAAGCCUGAUCCAGCCAUGCCGCGUGUGUGAAGAAGGCCUUCGGGUUGUAAAGCACUUAUGUCCGGAAAGAAAAGCUUAGGGUUAAUAACCCUGAGUCAUGACGGUACCGGAGGAAUAAGCACCGGCUAACUUCGUGCCAGCAGCCGCGGUAAUACGAAGGGUGCAAGCGUUACUCGGAAUUACUGGGCGUAAAGCGUGCGUAGGUGGUUUGUUAAGUCUGAUGUGAACGCCCUGGGCUCAACCUGGGAAUGGCAUUGGAAACUGGCUUACUAGAGUGCGGUAGAGGGUACUGGAAUUCCCGGUGUAGCAGUGAAAUGCGUAGAUAUCGGGAGGAACAUCUGUGGCGAAGGCGACUACCUGGACCAGCACUGACACUGAGGUACGAAAGCGUGGGGAGCAAACAGGAUUAGAUAUCCUGGUAGUCCACGCCCUAAACGAUGCGAACUGGAUGUUGGGGGCAACUUGGCCCUCAGUAUCGAAGCUAACGCGUUAAG
rnacentral:rRNA from 1 species